UACGGAGGAUGCGAGCGUUAUCCGGAUUUAUUGGGUUUAAAGGGUGCGUAGGCGGAUCGUUAAGUCAGUGGUCAAAUUGAGGGGCUCAACCCCUUCCCGCCAUUGAAACUGGCGAUCUUGAGUGGAAGAGAAGUAUGCGGAAUGCGUGGUGUAGCGGUGAACUGCAUAGAUAUCACGCAGAACCCCGAUUGCGAAGGCAGCAUGCCGGCUUCCUACUGACGCUGAAGCACGAAAGCGUGGGGAUCGAACAGG
rnacentral:rRNA from 1 species